ensembl:lncRNA LINC01409 long intergenic non-protein coding RNA 1409
GGUGGCCGGGCGGGAUGUAACCGGCUGCUGAGCUGGCAGUUCUGUGUCGCUAGGCUUCUGCCCGGCCGCCGCCGCACAUAAGCCACGAGGAGGAGCUUUACGACUUCCCGGUCUUCGGCGCCGGGCGCAGCAAGGGCCAGACUCUGCGCUAGCAGGCGCUGCGCGCCAACCGGCCGGCACCUGUCGCAGAAGGUGCAACCGAUCGCACUGUCGCGCAGAAGCUCCUCAAUGGCCAGCGCCAGCUGCAGCCCCGGCCGCCCACUCGCCUCAUCUGAGCCUGGCAGAAGGUAAGCAUGAGCAAAUUACUUUUUAGAGGUAACUUUGCUGAACUUGUGAAGAAUGGUGUGCAAGGUCCAGAGCGACUGCAGGAGAGGGAAGGUGGGAUUCCCACAGAGCAGGAGCACAGAUAAGCCAAGCAAGGCCCUGCUUGGAAGGCAGCAAUCAACAGAGAUGCACAGACCUGUGAGGGUGCCGGGACAGCCAUGCAACAAUGCAGCCCUUUUGCUUCCUGAGCUCACCAGUUCCCUCGCUCCACCUCUGAGAGGUGGUUUGGAGAAACACAGCCCUUCUCAAGAGGGCUGCAAGCUACUUAAGUCCUGAAAAUUUCCACAAGGCUGAGUCAAAUCUGCGUUUCAUCAUCUAUAAGAAAGGUACCUAUCGAGAACACCCUGCUGGCCAGUGUGUAAAUAUCUAAAGGAGGACUCAGAAAACACCGGGGAAGUCCAGCCUGCACGUGGUGGCUGGGCUUCAGUGAAGCAUGCAGCACAACAGGAGUUAGCAGACCACAAAGAGCAUGUCUGGACCUAGAACCACAGCAUGUAACCUCGGAAGCAGUGAGACACCAGCCAGCAUGGACAAGCAGCAGGCACUUGCUCUAUACCAGAUAGGUCCCACCUCCAGCCUUCCCCUGCUGCCAUCUAACAUCCUAAACUCCAGCUCUGAAUGUCUGUCUCCUGCUCUGAAUCUUCAGUGACUUCGAAACUCAAGUCAGGACACCUCUCAGUUUGGCCUCACUGCUCAAGAUUGAGCUGAAUUCAUGACCAUAAUUCAAGCAUUCAGAUUCAUGGGCUGUUUUGUGGGUUUUGCUAUCUCUUAUUUUGUUUUUGCACAUCUUACCCACUGAAACGUUGGGCUGCAAAAAGUUUGAUCACUAAAUAUGUAGGCAAUGCUGGAUACUGGGCUGUUAUUUACAUAUUUGUAUCACCUUUUAUUUCAUAAGAUAGCAUUGUCAGAGUAAUUUAGUAUUUCAACAUAAUCAACAAGUAAAAUAAAAUUAAUGAGAAUGAUCUUA